rnacentral:rRNA from 1 species
AGAGUUUGAUCAUGGCUCAGAAUCAACGCUGGCGGCGUGCCUCAGACGUGCAAGUCGAACGCGAAAGUCCCCUUCGGGGGACAAGUAGAGUGGCGCACGGGUGAGUAACACGUAGGUAAUCUACCUUCGGAUGGGGAAUAACAACCGGAAACGGUUGCUAAUACCGCAUAAUGCAGCGGCACCUAAUGGUGACAGUUGUUAAAGCGGGGGAUCGAAAGACCUCGCGUCUGAAGAGGAGCCUGCGGCGGAUUAGCUAGUUGGUAGGGUAACGGCCUACCAAGGCGACGAUCCGUAGCCGGCCUGAGAGGGCGGUCGGCCACACUGACACUGACAUACGGGUCAGACUCCUACGGGAGGCAGCAGUCGGGAAUUUUGGGCAAUGGGCGAAAGCCUGACCCAGCAACGCCGCGUGAAGGAUGAAAUCCCUCGGGAUGUAAACUUCGCAAGAACGGGAAGAAUAAGUAGGGGACAAUACCCCCUAUGAUGACGGUACCGUUUGUAAGCUCCGGCUAACUCCGUGCCAGCAGCGGCGGUAAUAC